AACUUCAAAUACCAUCACAACAAAAAACAAUAAAUCAUCAACAAAAAAAAACAUUUUUUUUAUCAAUUAAUUUUCUCCAAAUAACCAUGAAGACCAUUGCUCUCCUUCUGAUCGCUGUGAUCAUCUCCUCAUCAUGGAUGCCGAGUACGGAGGCGGUGAACCGUCGGAGAGUGGCAAUGCCACGUCGGCAGGGGCCGAUGGGACAAGGCGCGAUGGGGUUCUGCUAUGACUGCGCCAUGCACUGCAUCUUUCAAAAGGGCGUGAUCCUUCAUUCCUGCCAUAUGUAUGUCUGCCGCUGCAGGCCCGACACCAUCGACAUGACCCGUUGACUUCCUCCUCUUUCAUAAAAUAAUCGAUAUUAAUAAUUCUAUCAAUAAGAUUACGUUAUUUCUUGUCCUUGUGCCAUGUAUUAACAUCAUCUCUCGUUCGCUCGGUUAUCUAUUCUCUUACAUAAUCGCGUUUUUAAUCGAAUCUAUUAUUUCAGAUUUUUUUUUU